ACCCGCGUCUGAUUAGCUAGUUGGUAAGGUAACGGCUUACCAAGGCGACGAUCAGUAGCCGACCUGAGAGGGUGAUCGGCCACAUUGGAACUGAGACACGGUCCAAACUCCUACGGGAGGCAGCAGUGGGGAAUAUUGCACAAUGGGCGAAAGCCUGAUGCAGCAACGCCGCGUGAGUGAUGAAGGCCUUCGGGUCGUAAAACUCUGUCCUCAAGGAAGAUAAUGACGGUACUUGAGGAGGAAGCCCCGGCUAACUACGUGCCAGCAGCCGCGGUAAUACGUAGGGGGCUAGCGUUAUCCGGAUUUACUGGGCGUAAAGGGUGCGUAGGCGGUCUUUCAAGUCAGGAGUGAAAGGCUACGGCUCAACCGUAGUAAGCUCUUGAAACUGGGAGACUUGAGUGCAGGAGAGGAGAGUGGAAUUCCUAGUGUAGCGGUGAAAUGCGUAGAUAUUAGGGGGAACACCAGUUGCGAAGGCGGCUCUCUGGACUGUAACUGACGCUGAGGCACGAAAGCGUGGGGAGCAAACAGGAUUAGAUACCCUGGUAGUCCACGCUG
rnacentral:rRNA from 1 species